GACGAAUGCUGGCGGCGUGCUUAACACAUGCAAGUCGAACGGAAAGGCCCUGCUUUUGUGGGGUGCUCGAGCGGCGAACGGGUGAGUAACACGUGAGUAACCUGCCCUUGGCUUUGGGAUAACUUCAGGAAACUGGGGCUAAUACCGGAUAGGAGCUCCUGCUGCAUGGUGGGGGUUGGAAAGUUUCGGCGGUUGGGGAUGGACUCGCGGCUUAUCAGCUUGUUGGUGGGGUAGUGGCUUACCAAGGCUUUGACGGGUAGCCGGCCUGAGAGGGUGACCGGCCACAUUGGGACUGAGAUACGGCCCAGACUCCUACGGGAGGCAGCAGUGGGGAAUAUUGCACAAUGGGCGGAAGCCUGAUGCAGCAACGCCGCGUGCGGGAUGACGGCCUUCGGGUUGUAAACCGCUUUCGCCUGUGACGAAGCGUGAGUGACGGUAAUGGGUAAAGAAGCACCGGCUAACUACGUG
rnacentral:rRNA from 1 species